UUCCUUCUUAUUCUGCUUUAUGGAAACGAAAUGUUGUGAUUAGCUGCUCUGUCUUUGACCCAAAUAAAGCCAGAAACGAAGACGUAGCGACAGCGGAAGCUUGUGUGAGUGAACUGCACACACCGCCUUCUUCAUCUUUGUGAAAUCCAGCCCGCUCUUUGCCUGUUUGUAAACAUUUACGUCAAAAGCACGUGACGCCUGCGACGCAAUUCCGUGCAAUAUCCAAUCAGAAAGCGGAGGUGUGUUCCCAUAGGCGUGGCUUGUUAGUGUUGCCGUGAAAAUGUCGUUGCGUAGAGUUUAUUUGUCAAGCCACAGUCGCCUCAAUAGCAACCGGGAGCAGGAUGGGAGGUUCUGGAAGCGGUGUCGUAACUCUUGAGACGCUGUUGCGAAAGAUGCGCUCUCGAACGGGAACGAGCAGAAGCAGAUUCAUGUCCCAGGUUGAGCUGACGAGGUGCUGGACGGAUGCUUGAUGCGAGAGGAUGUUGCGCACUUCUAUUUACUUCAGGAGUGAGAGUAUGCAUAUUUGGACUACGAGCUGAUGAAAACAGAUGAGAACAUGUUUAAAUUUAAAUAGAGGGUUUGACCUAUGGCGGUGAGCUUCGUUUGCUGUGGGAAAUGGGACAUCAUGGGCUCUCCCAGAGGUAGAGGCAGCAUGGUCGCAUUCAAAUGAGAAAGCAAAAUUGAAACAUCGUCUCCAGGAUGCCAAGAGACUGGAGAGCUUCGCUCGCUCAUCUUUGACAAUCUGUGCCGUAGCGGAGACGUGAAGCGGCGAGACGGCGCGCGUGACCGAAGAGGCCAGAUGUGGAGAUGCACGGUGGCGUCCUAAGCUUUUGGGGCCUUUUCAUUUUGGAUCGAGUGUCGGACUAUAAGAUGUGGGUGUGUUACAUGAGCAGGAAGCGUUCUGGUGCCUUUCAGCAGUUCUCCAUGCCAUCUCUCAGAACCACCCAUCCCCCUGGUGAAUAAUGGACGCAUCCCUUCUCGGAUUGCCUUGUAUUUUAUACACAAAGCAGCCACAAAAUUAAAUAGACUCUACUUGCACGAUCAUAUGAGAAAUGUUGCUAUGAUAAUUAGGGCUGCACAAUGUUGAUAAAAAAAAUAUCGUCUUUGCGAUAGUGGCCCGUGCAAUAAGUUUUAGAAGGGAUUUUAUGAGAUUGAGAGGAUUGAUACUUUUUAUCAUGCUUCUUUGAGGUGCAUUACUAACUGUUAAGAUUUUCACUCACCACUGUGAAUUAUUAUACUCUCAAGUAGGAUGACUUACCAACCUGCCAUGCAUGUUUUCGCAAUGGGGGGGACCCACGGAGGCACGACACACAAACACCACACAUGAAGGCCCAAGUUUAUGUUGUAUCCAGAACCUAAAUGCUUCCAUGAAGCCUUCUAUGAAAAUAUACAACUCAGAUUGUUAUUGACAAACUACAGUAUACUGAAUGUUUUGUGUUUGUCUCAUUUUGUCCCGUCUUUGAAGGAAGUCCUGGCUGUCUUCUGAUGAAGAACACCCCUAUGAGUCUUUUGUCAUCCAAAUGUGCCAGUUUGACUGUAAUUUUUCCAAGAUUCUAAAGCGUCAAGGCUGUUUUUACCCAUGCUAGGAUGUUCUCUGCCAGAAAUGCCCCCCUUGGAAGCUGGUUUCAGAUGGUGGCUUAGAGUAUCGUCAUCCAUCUAGCACCAUUUGAAAUCAGUGUUCUUGGGGCGGGAGGUGAGAGUCACGUGCCAGUAAAAAUCAGCUGUUCCGGCAGAAGCUCCACUCAGUCAGCAACAAGUGGCCAGUGAUAUUUUGUCAGCCUGGGCCCUUUGUCCUUUCUCCAAGGUUGACCGAUUUCUUCUGGUGCUCAGAGUCUGCUUUUGUUUCUAGCACCAUUUGAAAUCGGUUACAGUGAAGGACACAUCUCGUCUCACCAUGAAUGAACCACUGGAAAUAACUUUUUUUUUUUCAUGUUCAUUUAUCCAAGGACAAUGUCUGCUACUCUUACAAUGAACUUGGACUAAUGUGUGAACAAUAAUUGAAUUACAUUUGCUUGUGGUGUCGGAAAUGUGGUCAAAACUACAUUGUGACAGUGAUCUCAUUAAGUAUUGCUCCAGAACAGAGGUGGCCAAUCAUUUUUUUCCCGGGGGCCAAAUGAGAAGCAGAAAAUGUUGUAGAGGGUUGGGCCAAAAGUUUGAAAUCUACUCCAGGUAUCGAUUUAAUUUCUACUAGAAAUAAGUAAAUGCCAUUGUUUACAGAAGCUGAUGAGUAUAUGUUAUUGUUAGAUAACGAGAGUGCAUUAUUUUACAAAAAA